rnacentral:rRNA from 1 species
GACGAACGCUGGCGGCGUGCUUAACACACGCAAGUCGAACGGAAAGGCCCUGCUUUUGUGGGGUGCUCGAGUGGCGAACGGGUGAGUAACACGUGAGUAACCUGCCCUUGACUUUGGGAUAACUUCAGAAAACUGGGGCUAAUACCGGAUAGGAGCUCCUGCUGCAUGGUGGGGGUUGGAAAGUUUCGGCGGUUGGGGAUGGACUCGCGGCUUAUCAGCUUGUUGGUGGGGUAGUGGCUUACCAAGGCUUUGACGGGUAGCCGGCCUGAGAGGGUGACCGGCCACAUUGGGACUGAGAUACGGCCCAGACUCCUACGGGAGGCAGCAGUGGGGAAUAUUGCACAAUGGGCGGAAGCCUGAUGCAGCAACGCCGCGUGCGGGAUGACGGCCUUCGGGUUGUAAACCGCUUUCGCCUGUGACGAAGCGUGAGUGACGGUAAUGGGUAAAGAAGCACCGGCUAACUACGUG